AGAUAAGGAAAUAAAAGCAGGCCACCCCCGAGCCAGCUGGGGCAAUCUGCUUGGGUGCCCUUCCGCCCUGUGGAAGCUUUGUUCUUUUGCUCUUCAUAGUAAGUUUUGGUGCUGCUUGCAACUUGGGUCCGUGCCACCUUUAUGAGCUGUAACACUCACUGCAAAGGUCUACAGCUUCAUUCCUGAAGCCCGCGAGAUUACAAACCCACCAACCCACCAACCCACCAGCAGGAAAGAACAACUCCAGAUGGGAGGAACUAACAACUCCAGACGCACCACCUUUAUGAACUGUAACACUCACCGUGAAGGUCUGCAGCUUCACUCCUGGAGUCAGCGAGACCACGAACCCACCAGAAGGAAGAAACUGCGGAGACACCAUCUUUAAGAACUGUAACCCUCACUGCAAGGGGCCGUGGCUUCAUUCUUGAAGUCAGUGAGACCAAGACCCCGAGCAUCCUUAACAUCCCAGCACCCCCUCUCCUGCUGCAAUUCAGUCCAAUUAGCCCCUGGCCCAAAAUCUAAUUGUGUGCAAAGCACAAAUUAACACUAAACCGGAUCAGUGUUGUUUCUUUUUAAUGCUGAAACAGUUCAGGGCUCACUCAUCCUACUUCAUCAGCUAGAUUGCAAGCUCCAUGUAGGGAUUUUCUCCCUUUUAUUUAAACCACCAGGCUGCCCCUUUUAGUGGACCUGAUGCGCCCUAAACACUCCUGGGCCAUGAGCUAAGACUCAAAGAAUAUUGGUCACAUGAGUGUCUGAAGAUGACUUCUGUGAGUGCCUGCAGAUUUCCUCAUACAUCCCGCAAGGAAGAGCAAUGCCCCAUGUCCAUGAACGGGGACCAUGACUCCCCACUCUGGCUGCGACCUUCUUUUUUAUUCUCACCUUGCUGAAAAUAAUCAACUCAUCUCAGUCUUCCUGAGGCUUUGCAAGUUUUAGCACUGACAGUUCCAUGAGCUGGGAACCCGCUCAGUGCCAGGCAAACCAUGACGGUGGAUCACUCCACCUGCCUGCCCUGCCCAUAAAUGAAUUAAGGUUUUGCAUCCUGAAUCUUUAUCCUCUGGUUGAAAUGUUCUUAUCCCAUGGUUAGCCUUUCAAGGCCAGGUUCAAAUGCUCUUCCCCUCACUGGACAUUCCCUUAUCACAUCCUUUACAUGCCUCCCUCCUGAAGAGUCUGGCCAAGUCACAUGGCCUGGCACCAUUACUAAUUGCCCACUGACCCAUGGUCUAGUUCUCAGUAUAACUGCUUCCCUUCUGGAUGAUUCUUACAGGCAGGGUGUCUGUCAUGCACAUCGUAUGCACAUGCUUGCUUCCCCAGCAAACCCAGCACUGUUCCUUGCACCAGCACAUCGUCAAAAUUGGCAGACGCUUGAUCAGCAUUUGCUGAUUGAUUGAUUGGUUCUGAUCCCUAGAACAGGCCCAAUCUAGGGAAGCCCAAAGCCAGGCAGCAGUACAGUGGAGAAUCUGCAACUAGCUGCACUCAUUCCACUCCAGCUGAAAACUCUCAGUAAAUAACACUAAAAUCUUCAACUGGCAGAGCACCUAGCUUCUCUGUUCAAUGUCUAGGGCUGUCUAUAAACCAUUAGUGGUGUGUUAGUGUUUUUUCUGCAUACAGACCUAAGUCUUUGCUGAUUUAUGUAGAAAGGAGUCCACAGCAGGGCAGAAUGCAUCCCAGGAAAAGGAAACGGUUCUCAUACAACUAUGCUAGGUCAUUCAGAAUAGUUAUCAUUAUAUGCCCUGCUUGGGAAAUUGCAGAGACCAUAUUUUUUAAAUGAAUAUAAAGUCUGAAAGGAAUUUUGACAGGUCAGAUUUACAAAAAUCAAAGUAGGCCACCCUGAUUUGCACUGUCAAUAAGGUGUUAGGGAAGAUACUAGGAGAUUAACACCCUUUCAUGAUGACCUAGCUGUUCCCUUGAAGGUGGUAACACCCAGUCAGGCCCAGGAUGAGGAACAAAGAGGGACUGGGGGUGACACUGGAAGCUUUCAAAUCUAAGGAGCCACAGAUCUCUUACUCAUUUUUUUAAUGACGUUUAUUAUUUUUUUAAUGUCAGUAGCAUUGCUUUCCAAUCCAUAUCAACCACAAUAAAGAAAAAUUUUCAUUGGUUA
ensembl:lncRNA novel transcript